UUUCCGUAGGUGAACCUGCGGAAGGAUCAUUUCUGAUUGGGUGGGGCGGUUGGGCUUGUUCGGAGGGGGGCUUACGUUUUCACACAAACUUUGUAUGCAGUGUAGAAUGUAUUUUUUGUUUUUGCGAUCACGCAAUCAAUACAACUUUCAACAACGGAUCUCUUGGCUCUC
rnacentral:misc_RNA from 1 species